GACUUAUAAGCAUGUAAGUAUGCUUGCUAUGUUACAAGACCCAUUUUAUAGAUGAAAAGACUGAGGCUUAAAGACAUUAAGAAAUUUGCAUAAAGCCACACUGCUGGUAAAUAAUGAAGCUGAGAUUUCAGUCUAAGUUGGUCUGACUCCAUAUUUCUGUACAAUCCUCACUCUCUGUGUGUGUGAUGGAAUUAUAGAAUUAUAGACUCUUCAAAGUUGUUUGGUGUAGGUUGCACUAGGUGUAUGACAGAUAUUCCAAAAUGUGUUGAUUGCCUUCCUUCGCCAUCAGAACUGGAAGGAAAUAUAGACAUCACCUGGUUCAUUUUACAGUAUGACUUCUGAAGCCAGAGAAGGAAAAUAACUUGCUCAGGGAAACACAGCUAGAGCUACAGUCAAGUUAGUCCUAAAGACCAAGCCAGGGCUGAUUAGCACGGAUCUGCUAACUCCCUAUCCAGUGUCCAGUUCAUUCUACUGCACUGCCACGUGUCUCUGUCAUCUGUUUUUAUCACUCUGAAAUUGUUGCCUACUCUGGCUAUUGUAAUAACUCAGUUGUAGCCCUAAUCCUGCUGUUCCCCUACUGAGAUUUAGUCGCAGUCAAAAGAAAGAACUCUGAACCCCACUCAGAGUUCUCAAUGACUAUGCAGGGCAAGGUUCAGAAUCAGAUAAACACACAUCUGUUUGAUAUGGAAACAUAAUGCACUUGGCUUUGGAGCCAGCAUCCUGUAUUUCCUUGAGUCUCACAUAUACAAAGUAACUACAAGGUGGGAUAUUUGCUCUUACCUCCCCCAUUAGGAGGAGAAGAGGUAAAGAGAGGAAAAAGGUGGCUCAGGAAUGUCAUGAAAUCUCUGUCCUAGUGUGUAUUUUACUAUGGGGUUCCAGAUGAAUCCAAUAAAAGGAAGUGCACAUGCCCUGUCCUGAACGUACACACGCGUGCACGCGCGUGCCCAUACACACACACAUAUACACACCAACUUAUGAUCGUGAAGCACUACACAGAUUAGUUACAGGAGCAUUAGCUCAAGAAAGAGAAAAAAUAUUUUUUAAAGCACUGUAGAGAUGAGAAACACUUUCAAAUAUACCAUCAUUUAUUCUUCUUGAUAAUUCAAUGAGGGAAGUAAUCUUACCAAACUGUUUUAACAGAUACGGGAACCAAGGCUCAGAGAAUUUAAGCAACAUUCCCAACAUCACACAGCUAGGAAGAGGAGAGCCUGACUCUCUACAUGGUUAUUUGGCCUCCAGACCCCUCCCUUCUGCCUGUACCAUGCUGUGAGGCACCUGCACUGGGCCUCCCACUCAGAAUUCUGGGCUUCUGGAAGCUACUGAGAGGUGCUUGUUCACUCCAGCCUCUUCUGUGUACUACAUUGCUUUUAUGUAUGGUGCACAGUUGGGGUAAACAUUUCCAGGCUACACUUACAAGUGUAGUCUGGGACUUUACACAUAUUUGUGGCCCAAAUAGUUACUGAGAGUGAAGUUUUCAACAGGUCUGAAUGGGAAUCUCUUUGGCAUUUCCUGAGUAAACCUGUGAUUUGGAAGCUUGCCUCUGAAGGGCAUUGGAUAAAUGAAGCAAAUGGUUAUCUCUGGUAAUUUUCAUGGUUUAGUCUUCCAUGAAGACUGAGGUCUUCCUUGUCUCUUGUACUCCUGUGGCACCCCAAAUCAAGUGAGGCAGCCCGAGGUCUGUUUCAACAGCAGCUGGAAAAGGUGGUCUUCUGUGUGGCGUGAAUGAAACAGUUUCCUGCCCUAUAAAGGUUCCCCUUCCAUUUCAGUUUAGUCCAACAAACAUUUACCAAGCACCUACUGUAUACCAAAAGGCACUAGGGACACAAAGAUGAAUAGGAAGCCCCCAGGUUAAUUGAGAGGCUGUGCAAGUCAGAGUCAUCUCCUACAGAGCAGUACUUCUAACAUUCAGAAGCAGGUAAGAGGUGGCAAAGAAAAGGCUGCCAUUCGCUUUGUCAGGGAGGAGAAUAGCUAGAGAAAAGGGAAUGAGAUGAAGAAGGCUCUCGGAAGAAAAGUCCUUCUAAGCAACCCUGAAGGAUGAAGAAAAGUUUGCCAGGCAGCAAAAGCAAAGAAAGCCAUCCCAGGAAGCGGAAGUGGAAGAAGCGGAAGUGGAAGAAGCGGCUCUGUCCAAAGUCGCAGAGGGUGAAACGGGGCUUUCUCUUCCUGUUCAGGAUCUACCAGCAAUUUGGGACUGCUGCUGUAGGGGAGGGAGAGGACAGGCGGGAAUUGUCUGUUGAAUGCUUCCAGGACCAGAACUAGCACAGAAAAAAAUCUGAAGGUCCCUAAGCCAAACUGCUAAUCACAGAUGCAGCAGAGAGCAUUUGGGGUUCUAGAAGGACUUUUGGGAGGUCUUCAAGCAACACAAUGCUCAACAGCAUACAUAAAACACUGUCCUGAUCUGCCUGGUGGAAAUCCAUGGCCCUGGAAGAUGAGGGUUCCAGAAGUUACCGGAACAGAGCAGAUGGCAGCUGCUACAUCCCUCCAGGGACCAAGGGACCAAGAAGAGACCAGCAUGGAUCCCAAAGGACUCCCUAGGACAGAAGUCAUGCUACUAGCCCAGCCCUCCAGGAGAGAUGACACCUAAAGUAUGUCAGCUAGACAGCUGUCUUUCUUGUUUUUUCUCACCCUCAACUGUUACCAUAAAUGUUGGGCUG
rnacentral:lncRNA from 1 species